UUGUUGGCGGGGUAACGGCCCACCAAGGCUACGAUCAGUAGGGGUUCUGAGAGGAAGGUCCCCCACAUUGGAACUGAGACACGGUCCAAACUCCUACGGGAGGCAGCAGUGAGGAAUAUUGGUCAAUGGGCGAGAGCCUGAACCAGCCAAGUAGCGUGCAGGAUGACGGCCCUAUGGGCUGUAAACUGCUUUUAUGCGGGGAUAAAGUGCGUGACGUGUCACGCAUUGCAGGUACCGCAUGAAUAAGGACCGGCUAAUUCCGUGCCAGCAGCCGCGGUAAUACGGAAGGUCCGGGCGUUAUCCGGAUUUAUUGGGUUUAAAGGGAGCGUAGGCCGCCAGGUAAGCGUGUUGUGAAAUGUACCGGCUCAACCGGUGAAUUGCAGCGCGAACUGUCUGGCUUGAGUGCACGGUAAGCAGGCGGAAUUCAUGGUGUAGCGGUGAAAUGCUUAGAUAUCAUGAAGAACUCCGAUUGCGAAGGCAGCUUGCUGCAGUGCGACUGACGCUGAUGCUCGAAGGUGCGGGUAUCAAACAGGAUUAGAUACCCUGGUAGUCCGCACGGUAAACGAUGGAUGCC
rnacentral:rRNA from 1 species